GGGGUCGACUGGUUUUGACAGCGAGAUUAAUUAAACAGUAAGCACGUCGUGUAAUGGCAUUGAAACACGUAAAAGGCUAGACCAAAUUUUAAACGGCGAGAAUAACUACGCUUUAGCUGCUUAAUCUGAAUUAUAGUAAGAUUAGCCUCGUCCUACUAGGUAGGAAAGCUUUAUGUCUCCGGAAAGCCUUGGUUAAUGGCGUUCCAUUUUGAGACAUCGUAAAAAUUAACUAAGAUGGUGUAGCGCUUUGAUGCACUUUCGAGAUUAAGAAGCUAAGUUGUAAGUAGAUUGUCUUUUGUCAGCUUACAAUCGAAAAACCAAGAAUAGAAUAAACGUGUAGAAAGCUCUUUGGUUACUUGUUUGGACCCGAGUUCGAUUCUCGGCGACUCCACUA
rnacentral:tmRNA from 1 species